UACGUAGGGGGCAAGCGUUGUCCGGAUUUAUUGGGCGUAAAGAGCGUGUAGGCGGCCAGGUAGGUCUGCUGUGAAAACUCGAGGCUUAACCUCGAGCUGUCGGCGGAAACCAUCUGGCUAGAGUCCGGAAGAGGAGUGUGGAAUUCCUGGUGUAGCGGUGAAAUGCGCAGAUAUCAGGAAGAACACCUAUGGCGAAGGCAGCACUCUGGGACGGUACUGACGCUGAGACGCGAAAGCGUGGGGAGCGAACAGG
rnacentral:rRNA from 1 species